AAAAAAAAAGUAGAAGAUCUCAAAUGUCCUCAUUCCUCCUGCUGACAAGCAACACCCACUUCCUGUUUUCUUAUGCAAUUCCUCUUAGAUAGAAAGCACGCCUCAGACUGCUGUGUAACAGCUUUGCAAUGGAGGAAACUGUGCCAGGAGUUGUACAGACCAGCGAGAAUCAGAAUGCGAUGAUGAAACACAGCAAACCUCUGCACCGCUUUACCCAAAAUCAGCCCAGAAGUUUUGGGAUUGUGGUUCUGAUGUUUGGGUGUGCUGAGGUUGUGAUGGGAUUUGUGAUGGCUGGUGCUGUUCUACAAAAUUCAUUCAGCUUAUAUAUUAAUUUCUGGCAAGGAACACUGGUAAGCA